rnacentral:rRNA from 1 species
UCGGGAAUAUUGCGCAAUGGAGGAAACUCUGACGCAGUGACGCCGCGUGCAGGAAGAAGGUUUUCGGAUUGUAAACUGCUUUAGACAGGGAAGAAAAAAUGACAGUACCUGUAGAAUAAGCUCCGGCUAACUACGUGCCAGCAGCCGCGGUAAUACGUAGGGAGCAAGCGUUAUCCGGAUUUAUUGGGUGUAAAGGGUGCGUAGACGGGAAGACAAGUUAGUUGUGAAAUCCCUCGGCUUAACUGAGGAACUGCAACUAAAACUAUCAUUCUUGAGUGCUGGAGAGGAAAGUGGAAUUCCUAGUGUAGCGGUGAAAUGCGUAGAUAUUAGUAGGAACACCAGUGGCGAAGGCGACUUUCUGGACAGUAACUGACGUUGAGGCACGAAAGCGUGGGGAGCAAACAGGAUUAGAUACCC